rnacentral:misc_RNA from 1 species
AAGUCGUAACAAGGUUUCCGUAGGUGAACCUGCGGAAGGAUCAUUAUUGAAUUAGCGAGGGCUGUCUGCUGGCCCCUUCGGGGGCAUGUGCACGUCCGAGCCGUUUAAAUCAACACCUGUGAACUCACCGUAGGCCUUCGGGCUUAUGUAUCAUAAUAUACUCAGAUCAUAGAAUGUACGUUUUGCCUUUAAAAAAGCAAUCAAAUACAACUUUCAACAACGGAUCUCUUGGCUCUC